rnacentral:rRNA from 1 species
CAGCAGCCGCGGUAAUACGUAGGUGGCGAGCGUUGUCCGGAAUUAUUGGGCGUAAAGGGCUCGCAGGCGGUUUCUUAAGUCUGAUGUGAAAGCCCCCGGCUCAACCGGGGAGGGUCAUUGGAAACUGGGAAACUUGAGUGCAGAAGAGGAGAGUGGAAUUCCACGUGUAGCGGUGAAAUGCGUAGAGAUGUGGAGGAACACCAGUGGCGAAGGCGACUCUCUGGUCUGUAACUGACGCUGAGGAGCGAAAGCGUGGGGAGCGAACAGGAUUAGAUACCCCCGUAGUCCCUGUCUCUUAUAA